UGGGGAAUAUUGGACAAUGGGCGAAAGCCUGAUACAGCCAUGCCGCGUGUGUGAAGAAGGUCUUCGGAUUGUAAAGCACUUUAAGUUGGGAGGAAGGGCAGUAAGCGAAUACCUUGCUGUUUUGACGUUACCGACAGAAUAAGCACCGGCUAACUCUGUGCCAGCAGCCGCGGUAAUACAGAGGGCGCAAGCGUUAAUCGGAAUUACUGGGCGUAAAGCGCGCGUAGGUGGUUCGUUAAGUUGAAUGUGAAAGCCCCGGGCUCAACCUGGGAACUGCAUCCAAAACUGGCGAGCUAGAGUAGGGCAGAGGGUGGUGGAAUUUCCUGUGUAGCGGUGAAAUGCGUAGAUAUAGGAAGGAACACCAGUGGCGAAGGCGACCACCUGGGCUCAUACUGACACUGAGGUGCGAAAGCGUGGGGAGCAAACAGG
rnacentral:rRNA from 1 species